CACAUCAGUAUGUAAAUUUUCAAUUUGAGAAAUUGUUAACCAUGAAUUCUAACCGUUACAGAUCUCUCUCUACAGUUAGUUUGGUAGUGAUAAGUGAAUCUAAUGGAUCUGAUUUAUCUUCAAUGUUGCACCAAGAUAUCUGCGGUACCAAAAAUUUUCAUUCCAGUACACAACAUAUGUCAAGUAGACGCGUCGCGUUCUGAACAAGACAGCAGUUCCAGUUUCAGGUACCGCCUGAAAGAACAUCCUCUGAACAAGCAAUAAUACCCAAAUAUCUUAUAGGCAAUAGCUAAAAAAUUUCUACAGCAAGCGCCAAACGUGAUGGCGAGCCCGCUCCCAGGCGCACAAACUCAUUUUCAGUGUAACCCCUACUACAGCUCUUGAAAGACAUACAAAUGCUCUGUACAGAGGCGUAUCAUUACUUGUACUCCAAUGCUGUUAGCGUUUGGCAUUGUUUGAAUGAUUUGUGUUGUUUCUGAAAAUUUGUCAUCGCCUAACAAAAAACAAGUCAUCAAGAGUGUAUUAUGUAACAACUGUACUACUACCUAUAAAUCUAAAUAAAAUAUGAAAAGAAAUUACAAAGAA